GCCGGGCGUGGUGGCGCAUGCCUGUAAUUUCAGCUACUUGGGAGGCUGAGGCAGGAGAAUUGCUUGAACUUGGGAGGUCGAGGUUGCAGUGAGCUGAGAUCAUGCCACUGCACUCCAGCCUGGGUGACAGAGCAAGAAUCUGUCUCAA
ensembl:misc_RNA Metazoa_SRP Metazoan signal recognition particle RNA